CUAGUUUCUGUGUGUACAUUAGCAAUUGCACAUGGGGUUAGCUCUCAUUUUCAAGUUUGCAUAAAGGAAGCUCUAUAUACACUGCUGUUUCUUGUGAAAUCUUCAGAAAGUGAUGAGGUUUCAGAAGAUGCAGUAGUGGAAGACUGAGCAUCUCUGCAAGCCAGUUAAGAAUGAGUAUCAGUCUGUUUUGGAAGGAAAGAUGGCAGCUUAAGGAAGAUUCAGGCAUUGCCUAAAGACUGAGCUAACCGAAGAGGAAGGAAGCCUGUGGACUUUUUUAUUCUCAGCAGCAGUUUCUAAUAACAUGGUGAAUCAAUUUUACAGCGCACCUUGACAAUAACAUGCAGUACAUUUUUUGAGUAGGAAUUGCAUUCUGAACACCUGGAGACUACCUUGUAGACAGCAUUUUCCAAUAACCCUCACAAAAAAAAAAAAAGUGACAUCAGUGGGAGAAGGUGGAGAAGUAAGAAAUGAAACUUGUGGCAAAUAGGGCUUGCAGCAGUGUAACAACUGACUCUUCUUGGAGUUCAACUCUUAAAUAGAAGGCUUGUGUGCCAGGUCCCUAAAAUUAAAAAUGGAUCCAAAGGAAAUGACUUCCCAGAGAACAAGCCGACCACUUUGGACUGACUGGACACAAGCCAUCAACACAGCUGCCUGUGGCUCCAGCCAAUUGCUGGUCUGCAUGCUGCUAGGGGAGUGCUGUAUCUUCCAUAGAGCAGUGAGCAUAUGGGCCUUUCGACAGCUGGCUCAAACAGAGGAGGAGGAAAAAGUGGCAGCAGAACCCCGGGGUUUGCUUUGUUUAAUUAUGGUGGACAGGAGAACUUCGCGUGCCAAGGAAGCACGUUUAAGAUGUGCCUGGAAAAGGAAACAGGGGAUUUUUGCCAGGAAGAAGGGAAGGAAGAAAGUAACUGGAUUUUCAGCAGUUUAUAUUACACCAAGUUCAGGUGGAAAUCUGAACAUUCAGGCCACUCCUUUUUGUUUUGAAUGAUGCCACAUCCCCCAUUGUCUGCUAAUAGAAGAUAGAUAUUCUUUCUUUUCUGAACCGUUUUGUUUUCCAGAUUGCAUCUGUAUGGAAAGAAUGUAAAGACUGGAGGAAUUUUUUUACAUUUGUUAAUGAAGUAUUUGCAAACAGAUCUUGUAAUGCCCACUUCUUAAGAAAGUAUGCAACCCACCCCAGAUAGCUAGAGUUGUAAGAACAGGAGGCUUAAUAAGUCAGCAGAGGUACAAUAACUAAAUGUUGGAUCCACAAACAUGUUUACAUUGCAGUUUUGUUAUGAAUGUAUUUUUAUAAUAUGGGAGCUCUGUAUUAGCAUAUGACAUCUACAUGUUAUUUUAAAAUGCCUCAUUUCUGCUCACAAAGCAGGGAAAUCAGAAAAUAGUUCUUGGUAAUAGCCUGGAGUUAGUCUGCGAUCAUUUUGUUCAAAUAUGCUUUUCAUCUUGAAGUGGAAGUAGGGCAUGAUCCACAUACAAUUCCUUUACAUUCAGUGAAAUCUAACAUAUAUGACUCCAUAUCUGUAUGACUAAUGAGUUAGGCUUUGUACUCUAGUAAUGAGAUUUAAUUCAAGAAUUAGUUCUCACUUUACGUGUGUUUUUCCCCCUAUCUCUGCACAAUAAUCCCGAAUGACCAAGAGUAGUGUCCUCCCUAGCCCUCUUGGAGUGGUUGUUUUAGAAAUACAGACAGUAUUUCAUUGUGCCAGCCAAUAUCUUCUGUCAGUGAGUCCUCCCAUUGACCUCGUUAACUAUAGGAUUAUCCAUAUUUCUCCCUGUGCAGGGCACAGAGCAGAGGGCUGGGAAAUAGCAGUGGGACAGUCUUGGCAUGCAUGUGGAGGACAGGAGCUUGUGAGGCUGCUGAACACCAUGCUCCCAACCCAGCACACAAAGUUGGAAGAAGAGCAUUAAGCAGGGGGUUUGAGGAGCAGCUGCAAGGUAGCAAAAUGGAACAGAGCCAGGAGCUUGAAUUUUAUGUUUACAAGUGCUGCUGGAGCUCAGGGCAGAGUCAGACAGAGGCUUUGUCCUCAGUGCCAGAAAAGGAGGGGAAAAAAUAGUGUGUACUUUUCCCAAGAUAACAAGUUUGUAUUAACUAUCCGGCUGUAAAACCCUGCACAAACAAGACACCUAUAGUUUCUACCACAAGUUCAAUACAAAAUUAUAUACACUUCCCUUCUAGGUUCAUCUUGCUUGGAUUAUGUCACUGAAAAAAAUUCCAGUACGUUAUCUUGACUGGGACUUCUACUGAAAGAUAUGGCUAAUAUACAUCAACUGUAUUGCUGUUUAAAAAAAAAAAAAAAAAAGGACAAGGGCUUUUGUAUUUGUUUUUUUCUUUCUUUUUUCUCUUAGGAAGGACACAGUCUCACUACCCCCUAAAGAAGUGCUACAGACAGUUUCCAUCUCUUUUUGCCUGCCUCUAUAAUAAUAAGAUCAAUUAAGUGGGCACCUUUAGCCUCCUGCCUUACUAUACUGUUUUCUGUUCUGUUACUUUCAACCACUUUUCCUAUCUAUAGCACCUAGCAAAAUCUUCCUGAAUUUCUUUCAGCUGAACUAGCAAUAAAAAUCUCUUCAUUAUUCCUUUCUGGCUCA
ensembl:lncRNA